AAGCAAACUGGUGUGUUUGGGGAGCAGUAAGAAAAGAGCGGAUUCCAGUGCUACAGCAGUCCCAGUGAACCAUGACUGACUGACUGACUGGUGGCUCUCAGUUUCAGGUCUUGGAGACAAGC
ensembl:snoRNA